rnacentral:misc_RNA from 1 species
GAUAAGAACGUAGCGAAAUGCGAUACGUAAUGUGAAUUGCAGAAUUCAGUGAAUCAUCGAGUCUUUGAACGCACAUUGCGCCCUCUGGUAUUCCGGAGGGCAUGCCUGUCCGAGCGUCAUUGCUGCCCUCAAGCACGGCUUGUGUGUUGGGCCCCGCCCCCCGAUCCCGGGGGGCGGGCCCGAAAGGCAGCGGCGGCACCGCGUCCGGUCCUCGAGCGUAUGGGGCUUUGUCACCCGCUCUGUAGGCCCGGCCGGCGCCUGCCGAUCAACCAAACUUUUUUCCAGGUUGACCUCGGAUCAGGUAGGGAUACCCGCUGAACUUAAGCAUAUCAAUAAGCGGAGGA